rnacentral:ncRNA from 2 species
CGGCUUACCUCGGGGUGCCCCAUGGGGCUGAGAUGCGCGCCUGCGCGAACCCGUCGAACCUGACCCGGUUAGAACCGGCGGAGGGAAGGUCCAUGGAGAACAU